UUAGUUGGCGGGGUAACGGCCCACCAAGGCGACGAUCAGUAGCCGACCUGAGAGGGUGACCGGCCACAUUGGGACUGAGACACGGCCCAGACUCCUACGGGAGGCAGCAGUGGGGAAUAUUGCGCAAUGGGGGCAACCCUGACGCAGCAACGCCGCGUGAGCGAAGAAGUAUUUCGGUAUGUAAAGCUCUAUCAGCAGGGAAGAAGAAUGACGGUACCUGACUAAGAAGCUCCGGCUAAAUAC
rnacentral:rRNA from 1 species